ensembl:snoRNA
AUCCUUUUCUAGUUCAUAAACAUGAUGAUUGGGUUUUCAUGUGCGUGCGUGAAAUGUGCCUCCGACAAAUCUUGUUACAACGUCAGCACAUUACCUGUCAGAUG